UGGGGAAUAUUGGACAAUGGGCGAAAGCCUGAUCCAGCCAUGCCGCGUGUGUGAAGAAGGUCUUCGGAUUGUAAAGCACUUUAAGUUGGGAGGAAGGGCAGUAAGCGAAUACCUUGCUGUUUUGACGUUACCGACAGAAUAAGCACCGGCUAACUCUGUGCCAGCAGCCGCGGUAAUACAGAGGGUGCAAGCGUUAAUCGGAAUUACUGGGCGUAAAGCGCGCGUAGGUGGUUCGUUAAGUUGAAUGUGAAAGCCCCGGGCUCAACCUGGGAACUGCAUCCAAAACUGGCGAGCUAGAGUAGGGCAGAGGGUGGUGGAAUUUCCUGUGUAACGGUGAAAUGCGUAGAUAUAGGAAGGAACACCAGUGGCGAAGGCGACCACCUGGGCUCAUACUGACACUGAGGUGCGAAAGCGUGGGGAGCAAACAGG
rnacentral:rRNA from 1 species